rnacentral:rRNA from 1 species
GUAAGGAAUAUUGGACAAUGGACGCAAGUCUGAUCCAGCCAUGCCGCGUGAAGGAUUAAGGUCCUCUGGAUUGUAAACUUCUUUUAUAAGGGACGAAAAAAGGCUUUUCUAAGUCGUCUGACGGUACCUUACGAAUAAGCACCGGCUAACUCCGUGCCAGCAGCCGCGGUAAUACGGAGGGUGCAAGCGUUAUCCGGAUUCACUGGGUUUAAAGGGUGCGUAGGCGGGCAGGUAAGUCAGUGGUGAAAUCCUAGAGCUUAACUCUAGAACUGCCAUUGAUACUAUCUGUCUUGAAUAUUGUGGAGGUAAGCGGAAUAUGUCAUGUAGCGGUGAAAUGCUUAGAUAUGACAUAGAACACCUAUUGCGAAGGCAGCUUACUACGCAUAUAUUGACGCUGAGGCACGAAAGCGUGGGGAUCAAACAGGAUUAGAUACCCGUGUAGUCC